rnacentral:rRNA from 1 species
GACGAACCGUGCAAACGUUAUUCGGAAUCACUGGGCUUAAAGCGUGCGUAGGCGGCUGGGAAAGUUGGGUGUGAAAUCCCUCGGCUCAACCGAGGAAUUGCGCUCAAAACUACUUGGCUUGAGGGAGUUAGAGGUGAGCGGAACUAAUGGUGGAGCGGUGAAAUGCGUUGAUAUCAUUAGGAACACCGGUGGCGAAAGCGGCUCACUGGGACUCUUCUGACGUUGAGGCACGAAAGCUAGGGGAGCGAACGGG